UACGAAGGGGGCUAGCGUUGCUCGGAAUCACUGGGCGUAAAGCGCACGUAGGCGGCUUUCUAAGUCAGGGGUGAAAUCCUGGAGCUCAACUCCAGAACUGCCUUCGAUACUGGAAGACUUGAGUCCGGGAGAGGUGAGUGGAACUGCGAGUGUAGAGGUGAAAUUCGUAGAUAUUCGCAAGAACACCAGUGGCGAAGGCGGCUCACUGGCCCGGUACUGACGCUGAGGUGCGAAAGCGUGGGGAGCAAACAGG
rnacentral:rRNA from 1 species